GGACACCAUCUCUCUUUAUGUUCACUCUCUAUUUCCCUUCUCUUUACCAUAAAUCACUUUGUGGAUUUUUCUAGGUAUCAUCACUAACUAACCAUAUGCGACGGAGGAUGAUCCGAGUGCCUUCCGGGCCGACGAGGUGUACGAUUUCUCUGCCCCGAGAUCCUGCGACUUCGCUCACGGAGUCACGGUGAGUCUGAGGAAGAUGCAACCAAGGCUGAGCUCUAGUUCAAGAUGAAGCAACCUUUCUUGUUCAAUCACUACUCAUCGACAGUACUGCCGAGUAAGAUGCUGCUUUGGCACAGCUUGAGUUAGAGAAGAGAUUGGCUUUGAUCAAAGAUUGGGAAGAGAAUGAGAAAGAUAAAGCUGAUAACAAGUAUGAUUCCCCUCCC